rnacentral:lncRNA from 1 species
GAAGAAAAGGACUUUAGGAGCACAGCACAAAACAACAGACAUCACUGUUGCUGAACUCCCCCAGUGAACACACGCAGUUUUUAAAUUGUGGAGCUCUUGAACCAGAAGCAUUCCCAGAGGUCCUCUUGUCCAGGUGCCGACCCUAACCAGUCAUUGCUGUGCAGUGACAUCCCCAGGCUGAGCACAGGAAGCCUGCAGACAGAGCUUGGACAACCCUAAUUACAGGAUAUUGGCAAGAGAGUUCCAUUGCUGCCCACUUGUUGUCUGGCUUUCUGCAGUGCAAUUCGGAAGAAGGGAAGGACAGAGAGAGAGACAGCUCUAUAGAGGUGGAAGGCAGGAAGACGGUUCUUGCCUGUUGGGUCAGCCCCAGGACUGUCUUUGGGCAUGGAGAACCUGCAUCAUGGGCAAGCAGAGGAGAAACUAAACCUGAUGUGAGAGAGAGAAAAUCUACCUGCCUGAUCUGCAUGCAGAAAGAAAUGAGGAAGACUGACCACCAGCUUGAAGCCAGGGACCAAGCCUCAGUUCUUAAGGCCUCGGCUGCACGAGUUCCGUUCAUCCCCGAGGACCACCUAGGAUUUCCCACGUGUGUGCUUUCCCAGGAAUUAUUUUGGGCUCAACAGGGGAGCCAGGUCUUAUACUCCAAGCAAGCAAACUCCAAAAGAUUGGUAAUAGACAUUUGAUACAGCUAUCGUGAUAGUAAACAAGGCAAAGUAUAUAUUUGAAAAGAGAGUCAAGUCUUUUUUAAAACAAGGAGUCAUCUUAAGAUACAAAAAAUACAACUAAAAGGAGAUUCAGAGAUGAUAGAUAGAUACAUCCAUAGAUACACAGAUAGAUAGAUACACAGAUAAAUACACAGAUAGAUAGAUAGACACAUAGAUGGAUACACAGACAGAUAGACAGACACAUAGAUAGAUGAUUGGAAAAGAAAGAAGAUCAUAGUAUUCGUUCAGGAGAACAAAGAGGGCGUUUGACAUUGAGAGAAU